rnacentral:tRNA from 1 species
CAGAAAGUAGUUUUAUUAAAAAUUUUAAUUUUGGAGAUUAAAGAUGAAUUUUAUUCUUUUCUGA